UGAGGAAUAUUGGGCAAUGCCCGCAAGGGUGACCCAGCAACGCCGCGUGGAGGAUGAAUGUCGUAAGAUUGUAAACUCCUGUUAGAGGGGAAGAAUAGUACCGGUUGGACCGGUAUAUGACUGUACCCUCAGAGAAAGCCCCGGCUAACUACGUGCCAGCAGCCGCGGUAAUACGUAGGGGGCGAGCGUUAUCCGGAUUUACUGGGCGUAAAGCGCGUGCAGGCGGAUUGGAGAGUUGGAUGUGAAAGCUCCCGGCUUAACUGGGAGAGGUCGUUCAAUACUUCCAGUCUUGAGUGCAGUAGAGGGCAGUGGAAGUCCGGGUGUAGUGGUGAAAUGCGUAGAUAUCCGGAGGAACACCAGUGGCGAAAGCGGCUUCCUGGACUGUAACUGACGCUCAGACGCGAAAGCUAGGGUAGCAAACG
rnacentral:rRNA from 1 species